CAGAUCUUUCUUUUCUUCAUCUAAUCUACACGCCUCUCUCUCCUUUUCUCUUGCUUUUUCCUCUUUUCACCUAAAUCUCAGGCUUUUUCCCUCUUUGUGUUGAACACCGAUGAUUUGAAGAAAUCCCAUUCGAUUUGCAACUUAUGAACACUGAUUUGAAGAAAUCCCCACCGAUUUGCAGGUUUGUUCUCGCACGUGGCACUUUCGGCACCGUCACCUCCUCUCAAAUUUCACUUUCGUUUUGGUUACAGCGGCAGUGACAAUUAGGGUGUUAAGAUCUAGGGUUCCGACAAAAACGGAGAUGGUUACCGCUAGAUUUCAUAUUCUGGUGGCGAUGACUAGAUUAUUGGUGAGGUUUGGUUGGAAGUCGCGACUGCAUGCUCAAUUUAGGAAAACAAGGGUUUGGUAAGUAGAGAUUCCGGAGAUAUAUGGCAUAAACAAGCUUUCUAUAACAACAAGGAGAUGUUGAUAAUUUAUGGGAGAUUGAGAAAUUGAGAUGAGGAUUGAUGAAAACUCACACAAUUGCUCAUGGGUUUAUCAUGUGCAAAGGUGUUAAUCAUUCAUAUCAUAUUUUGUUUCAGACACGUAUCUAAUUCAUCGUUUGUGUUCUUUAUUUUUAGGGGUUUCUAUAAUUUGUCAGAGCUACUAGACAUAAAUAUGGAUUCUGCCCAGUGACAACGUUUUAGGUUCAUGAAUAUUUUAGGCCUAAGGUAAUGUUGAAGUUGGGUGAUAUACAUAAAAACAAAUUUCAUACAAGAUAAAACAAGGGGAAGCUUUGUCUCUUGUGUCCUGCCUAAAAAGAGGCAGAAGUGAAUUAUCUCGGGCAACUUUUGCACCCGAAUCUCAUACAAUUGAUCGGGUUUGGAGGACAAACAACGGCUUUUAGUGUACGAAUUCAUGCCUUGUGGGAGCUUGGAAAGUCACUUAUUUAGGAGAGGAUCUUAUUUUCAACCAUUAUUGUGGAGUCUUUGGUUAAAGGUUGCUCUCUAGGAGCUGCUAAAGGACUUGCUUUUCUUCAUGGUGCGAAAGCAAAAGUGAUUUAUCGCGAUUGCAAGACUUCUAAUGUGUUGCUAGAUUCGGUAUGUUGUGUUGCUAUGAAAUUUUAUAGAAAAUUGCACAAAAUAAAGUGCAAAAUCUGAAGGCAACAGAGGUGGAUAUGGAAAUCUACGGCCGUGAUGCAAUAGGAUUCCGGCAGGUAUUUGGGUGACCAGAGUAUGACGUUCUAGCCUUUCCCAAUGAUAUAUAAGUUCUGUUCAGAUUUUACUUUAUUUGAAAUCUUGGGGCUUCCAUUUUAAGUUUUUCCUAAUUUUAUAAUUCUGGAGGAUACGUAACUUGCAUUUUGUAGGGUGGAUUUUGGAUUAGACUUUGUUUGGUUCAAAAACUGAAUUGUUUUGUUUU